AUGAUUACUGUGCUAUGCAACUUCCAUACACGAGGGGGGUGGGCUGUGUUUACAUAUCAUACCAUGGGUUUCAUGAAUCACCAUAUCAAGAGAUUCAUCGACACAGCUUGUUGCCAGAUAAUCUUCAUACCAUAUAACUGGAAUUACCGAUGCAAGUCGAAGAAGGAUUGGCCCGUGCUGCCGACUGACGUCAAGUUCGAUCCCACGGAUCAGGAGCUGAUCAAGCAUCUUGAGGCCAAAGUGAGUGCUGACAGCGUGAGAUUUCAGUCUCUAAUCGAUUUGUUCAUACCAACCAUCGACAGCGAGCACGGCAUAUGUUACAUCCAACCUGAGAAACUUCCAGGUACACUAAAACCUAUAUUCCACAAUACUACAUGUAUCACACUGAGUGGCCUAAGGAAGCAUUUCUUCCAGCGCAAUUCCAGGGCGUUCAAAAGGGGCGCGUGGACGCGUCACAAGAUACAGUCGAAGUGCGGCAUGCACGUGAUGUGGCACAAGACCGACAAUACCUUGCCGGUGAUGGUCAACGGCCGGCAGACGGGCAGCAAAAAAGGUUCUGGUGCUGCACACCAACAAGAACUUCGACCAGUAGAGGACCAACUGGGUGAUGCACUAGUACCACCUCCGGGACUUAGAGCAAGAGAAGGAGCGGGAGUUGGUCCUCUGCAAGAUUUUCUACCAGAUGAACACUAG
rnacentral:rRNA from 1 species